UUUGAAGAAUCGGAACCUUAUAAGACCUGUAGACAAUAUCUCUCUGAUCUAAGUAACAAUGCAGUUGACAACUGCAUUUCGGAUGUAAUGAUGACUGGAGACAAUAAUAUAACAUUGAUACAUAUCGAAGCUGCUCUUGAACAAUGUUCCAGUCUAGUUAAUUUUAAUUCAACAUUUCAAGAAGAACAACCUGAAGUAACGCACAUCGUUGAAUCAUUUUGUCCAAAUAAUUGUAGUGGGAAUGGUAAAUGUAAUGAAGGAAAUUGUACAUGCGAUGAAAAUUUUGCUGGAAGCGAUUGUUCUUUUGAUUUACUUGGCCCUCCAAAUAUAAGGCACAUUUCAGACUUCGGUUUUUGUGACAAGUCGUAUGAAGAAUGUGAUGAAAUAACCUUGUAUGGAGAACUCUUUUUAGACCAAAUGAAUACAGAAUGCCACAUAACAAGA